UACGGAGGGUGCGAGCGUUGUCCGGAAUCACUGGGCGUAAAGGGCGCGUAGGCGGCGCGAGGAGUCGGGGGUGAAAGUCCGGGGCUCAACCCCGGAUCGGCCUUCGAUACUCUCGCGCUGGAGCACAGUAGAGGCGGGUGGAAUUCCGGGUGUAGCGGUGGAAUGCGUAGAGAUCCGGAAGAACACCGGUGGCGAAGGCGGCCCGCUGGGCUGUGGCUGACGCUGAGGCGCGACAGCGUGGGGAGCAAACAGG
rnacentral:rRNA from 2 species